GUGCCAGCAGCCGCGGUAAUACAUGUGGGGCAAGCGUUGUUCGGAAUUACUGGGCAUAAAGGGUGCGUAGGUGGUUUGUUAAGUCAGGGGUGAAAUCCCGCGGCCCAACCGUGGAACUGCCUUUGAUACUGGCGAACUUGAGUGCGUGAGGGGUAGGGGGAACGAGCAGUGUAGCGGUGAAAUGCGUAGAUAUUGCUCGGAAGGCCAGAGCCGAAGGGGCCCUACUGGUGCGCAACUGACACUGAGGCACGAAAGCGUGGGGAGCAAACAGGAUUAGAUACCCUGGUAGUCC
rnacentral:rRNA from 1 species